rnacentral:ncRNA from 1 species
GACCAUAUUCAAUCAGCCUCUCUAUGGUCGCGGCUG